GAUGAAGAACGCAGCGAAAUGCGAUACGUAAUGUGAAUUGCAGAAUUCAGUGAAUCAUCGAAUCUUUGAACGCACAUUGCGCCUGCCAGCACUCUGGCAGGCAUGCCUGUUCGAGCGUCAUUUCAACCAUCAAGCCCUAGGCUUGCGUUGGAGCCCUGCGGCUGCCGCAGGCCCCUAAAAGCAGUGGCGGGCUCGCUAUCACACCGAGUGCAGUAGAUUACUCUUCGCUCAGGGCGUGUGGCGGGUUCCAGCCGUGAAACCCCCUACUUCUCAAGGUUGACCUCGGAUCAGGUAGGAAUUCCCGCUGAACUUAAGCAUAUCAAUAAGCGGAGGA
rnacentral:misc_RNA from 1 species